AGAGUUUGAUCCUGGCUCAGGAUGAACGCUAGCUACAGGCUUAACACAUGCAAGUCGAGGGGAAACGACAUCGAAAGCUUGCUUUUGAUGGGCGUCGACCGGCGCACGGGUGAGUAACGCGUAUCCAACCUGCCCACCACUUGGGGAUAACCUUGCGAAAGUAAGACUAAUACCCAAUGAUAUCUCUAGAAGACAUCUGAAAGAGAUUAAAGAUUUAUCGGUGAUGGAUGGGGAUGCGUCUGAUUAGCUUGUUGGCGGGGUAACGGCCCACCAAGGCGACGAUCAGUAGGGGUUCUGAGAGGAAGGUCCCCCACAUUGGAACUGAGACACGGUCCAAACUCCUACGGGAGGCAGCAGUGAGGAAUAUUGGUCAAUGGACGAGAGUCUGAACCAGCCAAGUAGCGUGCAGGAAGACGGCCCUAUGGGUUGUAAACUGCUUUUAUAAGGGAAUAAAGUGAGUCUCGUGAGACUUUUUGCAUGUACCUUAUGAAUAAGGACCGGCUAAUUCCGUGCCAGCAGCCGCGGUAAUACGGAAGGUCCGGGCGUUAUCCGGAUUUAUUGGGUUUAAAGGGAGCGUAGGCCGGAGAUUAAGUGUGUUGUGAAAUGUAGGCGCUCAACGUCUGACUUGCAGCGCAUACUGGUCCACUUGAGUGCGCGCAACGCGGGCGGAAUUUGUCGUGUAGCGGUGAAAUGCUUAGAUAUGACGAAGAACCCCGAUUGCGAAGGCAGCUCGCGGGAGCGCAACUGACGCUGA
rnacentral:rRNA from 1 species